AUGCCUUACACAUGCAAGUCGGACGGCAGCGCGGGGGCAACCCUGGCGGCGAGUGGCGAACGGGUGAGUAAUACAUCGGAACGUGUCCUGGAGUGGGGGAUAGCCCGGCGAAAGCCGGAUUAAUACCGCAUACGCUCUAUGGAGGAAAGCGGGGGAUCUUCGGACCUCGCGCUCAAGGGGCGGCCGAUGGCAGAUUAGCUAGUUGGUGGGGUAAAGGCCUACCAAGGCGACGAUCUGUAGCUGGUCUGAGAGGACGACCAGCCACACUGGGACUGAGACACGGCCCAGACUCCUACGGGAGGCAGCA
rnacentral:rRNA from 1 species